rnacentral:rRNA from 1 species
CCAAGGAGUCUAACAUGUGCGCGAGUCAUUGGGUCUUGCUCAGGCCCAAAGGCGCAAUGAAAGUGAAGGCCGGCCAGGUCGGCUGCGUUGGGAUCCCGCAUGUUUCUUGCGGGCGCACCAACGGCCCGUCCCGAUCGCCGCGUCGACGGGGCGGAGUGAGAGCGUACACGUUGGGACCCGAAAGAUGGUGAACUAUGCCUGGGCAGGACGAAGCCAGAGGAAACUCUGGUGGAGGUCCGCAGCGAUUCUGACGUGCAAAUCGAUCGUCAGACCUGGGUAUAGGGGCGAAAGACUAAUCGAACCAUCUA